UACAGGGGGUGCAAACGUUGCUCGGAAUUAUUGGGCGUAAAGGGCGCGUAGGCGGCCACCGCAAGUCGACUGUGAAAUCCCUGGGCUCAACCCAGGAACUGCGUCCGAUACUGGUUGGCUUGAAUCCGGGAGAGGGAUGUGGAAUUCCAGGUGUAGCGGUGAAAUGCGUAGAUAUCUGGAGGAACACCGGUGGCGAAGGCGACAUCCUGGACCGGUAUUGACGCUGAGGCGCGAAAGCCAGGGGAGCAAACGGG
rnacentral:rRNA from 1 species